AUUGAGCGCUGGCGGCAGGCCUCUCACAUGCAAGUCGAGCGGAGCGGGGGACGGGUGAGUAAUGCCUAUGAAUCUGCCUGGUAGUGGGUGAUAACUGCCGGAAACGGGCGCUAAUACUGCAUACUAUCAGAUGAGCCUAGGUCGGAUUAGCUAGUUGGGGGGGUAAAGGCCUACAAGGGCGACGAUCCGUAACUGGGCCGAGAGGAUGAUCAGUCAAACUGGAAAUGAGACACGGUACAGACUCCUACGGGAGGCAGAAGUGGGGAAUAUUGGACAAUGGGCGAAAGCCUGAUCCAGCCAUGCCGCGUGUGUGAAGAAGGUCUUCGGAUUGUAAAGCACUUUAAGUUGGGAGGCGUUACCAACAGAAUAAGAACCGGAGAACUCCGUGCCAGCCGCCGCGGUAAUC
rnacentral:rRNA from 1 species